UGGCAAACGGGUGCGUAACGCGUAAGCAACCUGCCUCAUACUGGGGGAUAGCCCGGCGAAAGCUGGGGUAAACCCGCACGGUCCUGUUGAGUUUCAUGACUUGACAGGUAAACAUUUAUGGGUAUGAGAGGGGCUUGCGUCUGAUUAGUUAGUUGGCAGGGUAACGGCCUACCAAGACGAUGAUCAGUAGGGGUUCUGAGAGGAUUGGCCCCCACAUGGGUACUGAGAUACGGACCCA
rnacentral:rRNA from 1 species